GAGACNUCAGGUCAGGCGGGGCUAC
rnacentral:rRNA from 1 species